CGGGAAUUCGGCGUUGCCGACCUCGACGACCCCGGCUGGAUCACCUCCUUACUCUUGUGGAUCAGUGGCGAACGGGUGAGUAACACGUGAGCAACCUGCCCCGAACUCUGGGAUAAGCGCUGGAAACGGCGUCUAAUACCGGAUACGCACCAGGAAGGCAUCUUCACUGGUGGGAAAGAUUUAUUGGUUCGGGAUGGGCUCGCGGCCUAUCAGCUUGUUGGUGAGGUAAUGGCUCACCAAGGCGUCGACGGGUAGCCGGCCUGAGAGGGUGACCGGCCACACUGGGACUGAGACACGGCCCAGACUCCUACGGGAGGCAGCAGUGGGGAAUAUUGCACAAUGGGCGCAAGCCUGAUGCAGCAACGCCGCGUGAGGGAUGACGGCCUUCGGGUUGUAAACCUCUUUUAGCAGGGAAGAAGCGAAAGUGACGGUACCUGCAGAAAAAGCGCCGGCUAACUACGUGCCAGCAGCCGCGGUAAUACGUAGGGCGCAAGCGUUAUCCGGAAUUAUUGGGCGUAAAGAGCUCGUAGGCGGUCUGUCGCGUCUGCUGUGAAAACCCGAGGCUCAACCUCGGGCCUGCAGUGGGUACGGGCAGACUAGAGUGCGGUAGGGGAGAUUGGAAUUCCUGGUGUAGCGGUGGAAUGCGCAGAUAUCAGGAGGAACACCGAUGGCGAAGGCAGAUCUCUGGCCGUACCUGACGCUGAGGAGCGAAAGGGUGGGGAGCAAACAGGCUUAGAUACCCUGGUAGUCCACCCCGUAAACGUUGGGAACUAGUUGUGGGGGCCUUUCCACGGUCUCCGUGACGCAGCUAACGCAUUAAGUUCCCCGCCUGGGGAGUACGGCCGCAAGGCUAAAACUCAAAGGAAUUGACGGGGACCCGCACAAGCGGCGGAGCAUGCGGAUUAAUUCGAUGCAACGCGAAGAACCUACCCAAGGCUGACAUAUAGAAGGAAAGAUCUGGCAAAACAGUUCCCCCGCAAGGUCUCUAUACAGGUGGUGGCAUGGG
rnacentral:rRNA from 1 species